rnacentral:rRNA from 1 species
AACGAACGCUGGCGGCGUGGAUAAGACAUGCAAGUCGAACGCGAGUUUAUUUAUAGCAAUAUGAGUGAACUUGAGUGGCGAAAGGGUGCGUAACACGUAGCUUACCUACCUUGAAGCGGGGGAUAGCUCGGCGAAAGCCGAAUUAAUACCGCAUGUGGUCGUAAGACUAAAGUUGGGGAUCGUAAGACCUGACACUUCAAGAUGGGGCUGCGGCCUAUCAGCUAGUUGGUGAGGUAACGGCUCACCAAGGCUUAGACGGGUAGCUGGUCUGAGAGGACGACCAGCCACACUGGAACUGAGACACGGUCCAGACACCUACGGGUGGCAGCAGUCGAGGAUUUUUCUCAAUGGGGGAAACCCUGAAGGAGCGACGCCGCGUGAGGGAUGAAGGUCUUCGGAUUGUAAACCUCUGUCAUCUGGGAACAAAGCGCUCCACCUAAUACGUGGAUUGUUGAUAGUACCGGAAGAGGAAGCAGUGGCUAACUCUGUGC